UGGGUCCUGCUGCCCUCCCUCAGCAGAUGGACUGUUGGGCUUCCUGGGGAAACGAAAGGGUUGCUGCGGCUCCUGGUGACCUGGUGAUGUGGCUGUUCUGCUCUUCUCAGCUCAACCAGAAGGAAAAUCCUGUGACCUACAAGAAAGCUAGGCCCAGUAGAACAACAGAACAGCGGGCAUCUCAGCAAUGUGAGAAUGGAAGGGAGCCGGAAGAGCCUCCAGCCCUGCGGGGAGGAGCAGGCCAGGCCUCCCAGGGUCAGGAAGUCUCCCCGAGGAUCAAAGAUUUUAUGGGUUCGAUAUGAAGAAAUUCUUCCGAAAAUAGAUUGGAAAACAUUCAACAAAAAGUAGCAAGAUAAGCCGGAUGCACACACCUGUAAUCCCAGUGGCAGGAGGAUGGAGAGUUCACAGCCAGCCUCGGCAAUUUAGUGAGGUGCUAAGCAACUCAGUGAGACUCUGUCUCUAAAUAAAAUACAAGAUAGGGUUAGGGAUGUGGCUCAGUGGUCCAGUGCCCCUGAGUUCAAUUCUGGUACCCCCCUCCCCCAAAAAAGCAGCAGGAUGUAUCCUAUGAUUUAAGAUUCCAAAAGUGUUACAGUAAAUUAGAAGAACAAGCUCCAGCCUA
rnacentral:lncRNA from 1 species